CAGUCGACGAUGAACCACUUCGGUGGGGAUUAGUGGCGAACGGGUGAGUAACACGUGGGCAAUCUGCCCUUCACUCUGGGACAAGCCCUGGAAACGGGGUCUAAUACCGGAUACGACUACCGAGGGCAUCCUUGGUGGUGGAAAGCUCCGGCGGUGAAGGAUGAGCCCGCGGCCUAUCAGCUUGUUGGUGAGGUAAUGGCUCACCAAGGCGACGACGGGUAGCCGGCCUGAGAGGGCGACCGGCCACACUGGGACUGAGACACGGCCCAGACUCCUACGGGAGGCAGCAGUGGGGAAUAUUGCACAAUGGGCGAAAGCCUGAUGCAGCGACGCCGCGUGAGGGAUGACGGCCUUCGGGUUGUAAACCUCUUUCAGCAGGGAAGAAGCGAAAGUGACGGUACCUGCAGAAGAAGCGCCGGCUAACUACGUGCCAGCAGCCGCGGUAAUACGUAGGGCGCAAGCGUUGUCCGGAAUUAUUGGGCGUAAAGAGCUCGUAGGCGGCUUGUCACGUCGAUUGUGAAAGCCCGAGGCUUAACCUCGGGUCUGCAGUCGAUACGGGCUAGCUAGAGUGUGGUAGGGGAGAUCGGAAUUCCUGGUGUAGCGGUGAAAUGCGCAGAUAUCAGGAGGAACACCGGUGGCGAAGGCGGAUCUCUGGGCCAUUACUGACGCUGAGGAG
rnacentral:rRNA from 1 species